rnacentral:rRNA from 1 species
CCUACGGGUGGCUGCAGUGGGGAAUAUUGGACAAUGGGCGAAAGCCUGAUCCAGCCAUGCCGCGUGUGUGAAGAAGGCCUUCGGGUUGUAAAGCACUUUCAGUGGGGAAGAAAGCCUUGGGGCUAAUACCCUCGAGGAAGGACAUCACCCACAGAAGAAGCACCGGCUAACUCCGUGCCAGCAGCCGCGGUAAUACGGAGGGUGCGAGCGUUAAUCGGAAUUACUGGGCGUAAAGCGCGCGUAGGCGGUCUGAUAAGCCGGUUGUGAAAGUCCCGGGCUCAACCUGGGAACGGCAUCCGGAACUGUCAGGCUAGAGUGCAGGAGAGGAAGGGAGAAUUCCCGGUGUAGCGGUGAAAUGCGUAGAGAUCGGGAGGAAUACCAGUGGCGAAGGCGGCCUUCUGGACUGACACUGACGCUGAGGUGCGAAAGCGUGGGUAGCAAACAGGAUUAGAUACCCGAGUAGUC